CUGAGCCUUGUGGUUACGUUAGGUUGACACCUUUUAUUGAAGUUUCUCCCAUGUGAUGUGCACUGCACAUGUUAAUAAACUUGCUUGUUUUUCCCUUGUUAAUCUGUUGCUAACAGGAGUCUGUCCCAAGUACGAAUUUAUGAGGGUUAAAGAGAGAUUAAAUUUCCUCCCAGACAGAUGGAUGAAUUGGAUUUCCCUAGGAGAAAGCAUUCCUCGGGCAGGGCGAGUGUGUGCAAGGACUGUGAUAGAAGAAAGCAGGUGCAGACAAGGAUGUGAAGACUGCUGCAGCUGCAGUGGAGAGAGUCCAGAGAAGCAGGAGUGAGAUCACCUGGAGAGCUUCCUCAGCCACAGACCCGAUGAGUUGCCUGGAUGUCAAAGAAUUAAGCCUGCCUUGAAUUAGCAGAAGCAACAGGAAUCCAGAGGGAAUUGACUUUUUUUUCUUUUUUUCCCUGGUCUCCACUGUGAUUCUCUGAUUCAAAUUUGCGGUGGCAGAAUGAAAGGAAGGGGGGUGCUCCUGGAGGGAAGCACUGCCCCAGCAGAGGCCCU
rnacentral:lncRNA from 10 species